CUCGAUUGGGAGAAAGAGGCGGGUAAAGCACAGAUUCUAACCUGUAGCAGAGAGGAAGAAGAAACUUCACAAGGUUCAAGACAAGAUAGGAUCUCAAAGUAAAUGUAAGUAAGUAUCUUGAUCAUGUCUAAAGAGAUAAGUUCAAGGGUACUCAUAGAUGUAUCUUCAUGGUAGAUAUUGUUUCUCUUCUUGAUGCAAAUCUAGACAGGAAAAUUAAACAAAUCAUGACAAUAGCAGUAAACUCUAGUUAAGUUAAGAAGACAACAUUUCUGUAUAUUUUGUAGCAAAGGUGAUACAACUUAUAUGGGAAAUUACCAAGAACUGAAACUUGAAUAAGGAAUGCAAAGAGCUAGCUUCAACGAAUUUAGCAAUUUCAUGUUUCAAGCAAAUGUCACUAUGAACUGAGGAUUUCAUUUGAAAAAAAAAAGAUAUCACUCGACUAGAAACGCCCACCGUGGGGCUCGAACCCACGACCACAAGGUUAAGAGCCUUGCGCUCUACCAACUGAGCUAGACGGGCUUUGUUGAUAAUCUUGACUAUAUUUAUUAAUUGAAAGUAGAAUCAGCACCAAAAGAUAGGAUUCAGCUAAACAGAGACAAAUUUAAGUAAAGACAAACCUCUGGUUUUAGUUUUUGAUUAACAAACGAAGCAUAUAAUCAAAUGCCCUUCUUCACGCACCCUGUAAAGCAUAAUACCUUUUUUGAGAUAUUAUCUAAACCUUAAUCAACAAUUAUUCCUACUCGCUAAUUUGAAUUAUCAAUUUUCAUUCUAUGUAUACUAAAAGGAAUGUGCAUUGAUCAUCAAUUUCAAUCACAGCAAUUUAUGAUCUAUUACACGCAUUUUCGAUCUACUAGGAAUCAUGGGUAAAGAUCGUAACCUCGUUAUAAGAGUUUCUUGAUAAUUGAUCUGGAUACGAUAUCUUCAGGGAUUCAUCUGCGCAUAUUAGCUUCUGAUCCAAUGCCGUAAGAAGUUGAGAGAGAAGCACAGAGAAAUUGAGGAUCAACCAUGGAAUACGUCAAGCAUCGAUUUUGAGUCAAGGGUAUCAUCAGAUUCGCCGAAGAUAGUCAUCUGCCACUUUCUUUCUUUUUUCUUUGCCUGUCCCAUUAAGUUCUGUGUGGAUAACAGAGCAAUGAAUAGCCCAAAGAGCAAGAGGAGUUUCCGAGGAUGAAGAACAACGAAAC
rnacentral:lncRNA from 1 species